rnacentral:rRNA from 1 species
AUUGAACGCUGGCGGCAGGCCUAACACAUGCAAGUCGAGCGGAUGACGGGAGCUUGCUCCUUGAUUCAGCGGCGGACGGGUGAGUAAUGCCUAGGAAUCUGCCUGGUAGUGGGGGGCAACGUUUCGAAAGGAACGCUAAUACCGCAUACGUCCUACGGGAGAAAGCAGGGGACCUUCGGGCCUUGCACUAUCAGAUGAGCCUAGGUCGGAUUAGCUAGUUGGUGAGGUAAUGGCUCACCAAGGCGACGAUCCGUAACUGGUCUGAGAGGAUGAUCAGGCAGACUGGAACUGAGACACGGUCCGGACUCCUACGGGAGGCAGCAGUGGGGAGUAUUGGACAAUGGGCGAAAGCCUGAUCCAGCCAUGCCGCGUGUGUGAAGAAGGUCUUCGGAUUGUAAAGCACUUUAAGUUGGGAGGAAGGGCAGUAAGCUAAUACCUUGCUGUUUUGACGUUACCGACAGAAUAAGCACCGGCUAACUCUGUGCCAGCAGCCGCAGUAAAAC